UCCAGAGCCCCUGGAACUCUGGCCCAAGGCUCUCUGACUCCUUCUCAGAUCUUCUUGGCUUAGCAGCUGAAGAUUGACACUGCCCGAUAGCCUCAGAAGCCUACAGGACCAUCACAGAUGCUCUAGGUAACUCUCACAGUGGAGGGCAAUGAAACUGAAUCCGAGAGAGCUUGAUUCACAUACCCCAUCUCAGCAAGCCACUUCACACCAAAAUCCAAACUAGAAGCAUAAAUCGAGGCAUCUAUAGGACAUGCCACUGUGGGCUUAUGCAAGAAGUUAGCACUGUUGCAAAUUUCAAAAAAGGUCUAAGGCAAAAUUUUAAACAAGGUCUAUGAGCUAUCUUUGCUGUAUCGCUUGGCAGCAGACAUUACCCUUAGGUCGUGUGGUAUCUGGUAGUUGGAGAAGUCUCACUGGCCAAGCCAGGCUUCCUUGUUACAGUGACUUAUACCUCUCCUCUGAGGUUUAGACCUUAGUUCUGUGAUACAGAAAUUCAAUUUCAUCUUUUCACCCAAGAAUAAUCAGGUUCCAAUGAAUUGAUCUACUUGUCAACCUCACAAACAGAGUUACUGGUAAAUAAAAAUGUUCAUUCAA